GAAGACGAAGAGUAGAAGAAAAUUUUCAAGUUGCAUUAA
rnacentral:sRNA from 1 species